rnacentral:rRNA from 1 species
UACGUAGGGGGCUAGCGUUGUCCGGAAUCAUUGGGCGUAAAGCGCGUGUAGGCGGUCCGGUAAGUCCGCUGUGAAAGUCGGGGGCUCAACCCCUCGAAAGCCGGUGGAUACUGUUGGACUAGAGUACGGAAGAGGCGAGUGGAAUUCCUGGUGUAGCGGUGAAAUGCGCAGAUAUCAGGAGGAACACCAAUUGCGAAGGCAGCUCGCUGGGACGUUACUGACGCUGAGACGCGAAAGCGUGGGGAGCAAACAGG